rnacentral:ncRNA from 1 species
GUGUUAUAUGAAAGGAGAGGUUAGCACUCUGCCUGACAAGGAUGGAAGAGGCCCUUUGGCCUGACAACGUGCGACAAAAGUGGUUCCAAACAUUUCUUU